rnacentral:rRNA from 1 species
GAAUAUUGGACAAUGGGCGAAAGCCUGAUCCAGCAAUGCCGCGUGAGUGAUGAAGGCCUUAGGGUUGUAAAGCUCUUUUACCCGGGAUGAUAAUGACAGUACCGGGAGAAUAAGCCCCGGCUAACUCCGUGCCAGCAGCCGCGGUAAUACGGAGGGGGCUAGCGUUGUUCGGAAUUACUGGGCGUAAAGCGUACGUAGGCGGCUUGGUAAGUUAGAGGUGAAAGCCCGGAGCUCAACUUCGGAAUUGCCUUUAAGACUGCUUGGCUUGAACGUCGGAGAGGUGAGUGGAAUUCCGAGUGUAGAGGUGAAAUUCGUAGAUAUUCGGAAGAACACCAGUGGCGAAGGCGGCUCACUGGACGACUGUUGACGCUGAGGUACGAAAGCGUGGGGAGCAAA